AAUGGGCGCAAGCCUGAUGCAGCCAUGCCGCGUGUAUGAAGAAGGCCUUCGGGUUGUAAAGUACUUUCAGCGGGGAGGAAGGGAGUAAAGUUAAUACCUUUGCUCAUUGACGUUACCCGCAGAAGAAGCACCGGCUAACUCCGUGCCAGCAGCCGCGGUAAUACGGAGGGUGCAAGCGUUAAUCGGAAUUACUGGGCGUAAAGCGCACGCAGGCGGUUUGUUAAGUCAGAUGUGAAAUCCCCGGGCUCAACCUGGGAACUGCAUCUGAUACUGGCAAGCUUGAGUCUCGUAGAGGGGGGUAGAAUUCCAGGUGUAGCGGUGAAAUGCGUAGAGAUCUGGAGGAAUACCGGUGGCGAAGGCGGCCCCCUGGACGAAGACUGACGCUCAGGUGCGAAAGCGCGCGGGGCAAACACGAUU
rnacentral:rRNA from 1 species